GAGCCGUGUGGUCGACACAGUGCAAACUAUUCUUUCGUCUUUUACUAAAGAAUACUAUGUGUUGGCCACUCAGAGCUUAAUAAUUUAGUAUGAUUAAGAUCAUGA
rnacentral:snRNA from 1 species